rnacentral:rRNA from 1 species
AGGGGGAUGCCUAAGGUAGGACUGAUGACUGGGGUGAAGUCGUAACAAGGUAGCCGUACCGGAAGGUGUGGCUGGAUCACCUCCUUUUAGGGAGA